ACCACUGAGCCACAUCCCAAGCCCUAUUUUGUAUUUUUAUUUACAGACAGGGUCUCACUGAGUUGCUUAGUGCCUCCAUGUUGCUAAGGCUGGCUUUGAACUUGCGAUCCUCCUGUCUCAGCCUCCUGAGCCUCUGGUAUUACAGGCGUAUGCCACUGUUCCCAGUUUUGAAGGGUAGGGGAAUGUGGUAAGUGAAAACUUAAUCAAAUUUUCAAAAGAUAACCUAGUGAUUUUUGUGAAAGAACUUUGCAGAAGGAAAUUUGGUUUCUAAUCAACUGGCCUUAACAUAAGAUUAUCCUAGUGGAUCUAGUGUAAUCCCAUGAGUCCUUAACCAGCAACAGAAGAAAGAAGUGUUAGAGAUGUGGUAGAAGAAAGAGAAGAAAUGAGGCUGAAAGGGAGGUAGAGAGAUUCCAAGCCUGAAGACUUCAAAGCCUGUCAGCUUUAAAGAUGAAAGAGAAAAGCUAUGAAUUAGGAAAGACCAUCUGCACUGCUAAAUUAACACCAUGCCCCAAUCAUCAGUCAGCAGGAAACAAGGACUUCAGACAUUUCAGAUAUACAUGGAAUUACAUUUGGCCAACAACAUAAAUAAGCUUGGAAAUGAAUCUGUCCCUAAGGGCUCUAGUAACAGCCUCUGCUGACUUGUGGAUUCUGGCCUUGUGAAAUCUAGAACAGAAAAUCAAUUGGGAAAAUGCCCCCACUUCUGGCCUACAGAACUGUAAUAUCAUAAAUGUGCAUUUUCUUAAGACAUAAGUAUAAUUAGUGGUAAUUAGCUUUGGUAGGAAUAGAAACCUAAUAUGAAGAGAGAAGAAAUGACUGAGAUGAGGAGUAAAAUAUGAUCUUCCUAUUAAAAUAAGGGGGUAAUAUAUGGAUAAGAAAACACCAUCAUACUGAGUGAUGGGUGACCUAAUCCAUGUACUUGCACAUGGCUGCAAAGAUUCUGUAGCCCUCCUGUGAUAAGCCUUCAGUUCACAGGACCAUGAUAAACAGUAUCCCACCAAUUAUAUUAGCAAUGGAGAUACUCCACCCCACACAUGUGAUGAGGAAACACAAUGAAUGCUGAACUCAUACAUAUACAAAUUCUAACAUGUGUACAUAACAUUUAGUGCUCAGAAAAUGCUUUACCAAAAUUCAUUCCAUUAAAGAAAGCUAAGACUAAAAGAGUCCAAUGUGGAAAGAUGGUCAGCUACAAUGAUCCACUACUAAAGGUUUAUUUAAACUAGUCAUAAGUUAUAGUGAAAUUUCUGGAAUAUGUAUUUUAUAAAUUUAGAAUGAACACAAAAUAACAGUGUUUCUUACAAAAGUUUCUUUUGGAAAGGUUAGGGGUAAAUAAUAACUCACAAAGAUGUCAUGCUUUAAAGAAUUUGUUGGUAUUAGCUUGACCUUUAAAAGUGUGACUAAUAAUAAAUCAGGUAUAAGUCAAGAGAAUGGUCUCAGUGAGACCCAUCAUCCUAAUUUGAGACCAUGAUUUGUUUUGAGGCAGGGCAGAGGAUACAAAGAGGUAUUCUGGAUUCCAGUUAUUUAUUGCUAGCUAUGAUUUGAAUGUGUUCUCUCAGAACUUGAUACUGAAAUAUAGGAAUCAUUUUGGUGAUACUAAGAGAUUGGGCCUUGGGAGAAGUGUUUAAAUCACCGUCAUGAUCAGAUUAAUGCCUAAAAAAGGGCUGGAGACAACUCUAUUAUGCCUAUCCACUCUCUGCUCUUCUGUUUUGUGAGGGCACAGUGUUCAGGCCACCAUCUUGGAAGCAGAGAUUUGGCCCUCACCAGACACCAAACCUAUAGGUACCUUGAUCUUGGGACUUUCCAGCCACCAUAGCUAUGAUAAAAAUUCUAUUAUUUGCAAAUUACCCGUCUCAGGUACUUUGUUAUAGCAACACAAAAGAACUAACACACUGUUCUAUGCAAUAUCUAAAAAUCCAUCACUUGGUGUCAAUCUACUCUUACUGAUUUGAUUGUGAGUUAAAUAGAAUCAAUAGCUGCUUUCUUCAAUAUGGCAUUGAGCACCUUGCUUCCUACCCUCAGACAAGGUUUUGACAUACUUUUCAUGUCAUACACCCACCUCAGAAGUCUGAUUCUUUAGUCUUUAUGAUUUGAAAAGGCAUUUACUAAAUUUCUUUUUAUUUUUUCCUCAUGGUAUCUAGAGAUUGUUUCAUGGUAUCUAGAGAUUGACUACUCCUAAUAUUUCCAAAUAUUUGUAUAAACUAUUUGUAUGUAUGGGUGAAGGGUAUAGAAAAAAAUAUUAUUUCUAGAUUAAACAUUAACUUUUUAUCUAAACAUCCCAUGACUUUCCUUCUAUAAUUUUAUUUAAAAGAUCCUAAGUAAAAAUCUCAGUAUUUUCUUUUCCAUGUAAGACCACUUAAUUUUUUUUUUUGGAAUCCAGGGGCGUUUAAACACUAAGCCACACCCCCAGUCCAUUUUAUUUUGAGACAGUGUCUCACUAAGGCUGAGGGUCUUGCUAGGAUGCUGAGGCUGGUCUCAAACUUGCAGUCCUCCUGCCUCAGCUUCCUGAGCCACUGAGAUUACAGGCAUACAAUACCGUGUCUAGGUAGGACCACCUAAUUUGUUAAGGCAAAAUGUCAGGUGUAAAGUUGUGAUUUAGCAGGUAUGUAUCAUUUUAAAAGAGAAAAUGAAAAACUAAACAGAAAUUUUUACAACAUCAACUUUGACUGUCAUGAAUAUUAUAAACAAAAUUUUAGAAGACCGAUUAUGUGUGCAUUCCCCAUCCUUCCACAAUUGAGUUCAUGCACUUUCACUGUUUAAAUUUUAUUUGACAUAAGUGAGAAGCUAAGUAAGUAAAAGCAGCUUUAAAAAGAUCUUCAACCAGCAUUAUUGUAUUAGAGUUGCAGACAACCAACUCCGGCUCAUGAGCUUGCCUUCAGAUUUAAUUCCAGAUGUCCUUUCUCUUGCACAUGUGAAUAAAUAGGAAAAUGAUUUCCGUUAGCUAGAUCUCUGGCUUAAGCAGAAAUGCAAUCAUCAUGGUUCCUAAGUGUUGUGUGUACACUCUCUAACUCAAUUUUCACAACAUUAUUUAGACACUCUGACUGCUUAAGCCUGAUAGCAAGCCUCCCCGCCCGAACCAAUUAACCUAACCCUAAGAUUUAGUUUUACCCAGUUGUCCUUGAAUCCUCCCUUGUUCUCCUAUUUGAAUUGGUUUGAAUUCUUUCCCAGAAAAUGUUUGUAAUCUAAAAAUUGUCUUAAUCUCUUUAGUCCAAUUUUUUCUGCUCUUUAAUUUCCCAACAGACCAAAGUGGAUUUCCAAACUUUUCCGCAUAAGAUAUGGAACCCUACUUUUCAAGUACAAAUUUCUUUUUUCGUGUAUUGCCUGUGGAAAACCAGCAGUCUAAAAACCAGCAGUAUUGACCAGACCACAAUAAAGAGAUUCUCUUCCUUGUAUUCUCUUGGGGUUUCUGGGUGUACUUCUCAGUGGGAUCCAUGAGGGAAAGAAAAGACAAAUUAUUCUUUAUCUGUCAAGUGGACGCCCAUUGUGCAUGUUAAGUCUUGGAAAAUAGAAAUCAGUCAAGAGCUAUAUAGUCAACUGAGCACUUGGAUGCCAACUUUUAUGGGGACUGGGAUGGGGUUUACAUAAAUAAAUGAAGCCUUAGAAAACCUAAAAGAUGGUAAAGUUAGAAAAUUGAUUACCAACCUCAACUUUAAAUGGGAUCAUAAAGGUAAGGCAUGGUGGUGAGUGGGGAUGAUCAUGUUCUCUGAGAAGCUUUCAUUUAAAAUAAGUACUCCUCAAAGCCACCGUCUUCAGCUCAUCUAUGUCUAAGCUUGAAGUUACAAAGAGUAUUUAUUGGUUUAAUAGACCUAUGUGGAUGUGCAAUUUCACGACAUUGCUGCAAAACAUUGACAAAUGCCCAUGUAAAUUUUCAUGAGUUCACACUUUGUCAUAUUUUUCUAGGUGGGAAUGUUAACAUGGAGCUCCUCUACCAGUAAACAAACUUAAUUAUUUUAUAUCAUGUUGUAACAAACUGAGUAAGUUUGGAUCAAAUAGCAAAAUAGAUUUCCUAAUAAACCAAGAGCAAAACAACCUAGAAUAUGGUGAUAAAUAAAAUUUCUCUUCAGUACCUUAACAUUUCUAAGUGGUGAAAUUAGAGAUAGUAAAGAAAAAAAUUAUUAACUAUGAAAUUAUAGACAGUAAAGGAAAAAUAUAAUUUGAAUAAAGAAAAUUUCCAGAGUUCUUACUUCCAUUUCUCCAAAUAAGCUUCUUCUGCAUUACUUUUCCUAGUAAAAUAUAGAAUGAAGACUCUAACACCAAUAACAUGCUAGACACUGUUUCUGUGAUAUUUAAAUUUGUUUUCAGGAUAACUUUAUAAGUCAUAUAUCCACACUACUUCAGUUUUAUAAAAGAAGUGACUGAGAUGAGGGGAGCAUUGUUACUUGUCCAGAGUUGCACAGCUAGAGAUGAUAGAGACUGAAUUUAGUGCCAAGUCUAUGUGCCUAUAAAAUUCAAGUUCUUAAAAACAUCUCAUCUCUGCAGAAAGCCACAAAUAUUUAUUUUUUUACAAAUGUACAUCAUGCAUACAAAAACUUCCCCUGAGAUUAAACCUACACCUGGUAGGAACAACUGUACAUGUAUUGUUAAUCUUUGGCAGUGGGAGGGGACAUCCCACAUAGGCCAGGUUUUUCCAUCUGUGCAAUAAUGACUUGCUUUUCUCUCUAAAAACAGAGAAAAGAGUUGAAAUUUCCCCAAAGGACAUGAUGUGAAUAUCAAUCCACACAGAAUUUUGGCUUAACCUGCAAUUAUUAUAAUCUCCAUGUCCCAAAGCUCCAACUGUAAGACCAAUAUAAACAGUUUAAGCAGUAAUCUGGUGAUUCACUCCUUUUGUGGGUCUGUAUGAUGGACUAGGAUAGAAUAUGUCCUAAAUAUACAUUAGAGUGGGGUGAUCUGCACGGUUUAUUUUAGUAUGCAUAUGUGUGUGUGUGUGUGUGUGUUAGAAAUAAAGUAAAAGAAUAUUCAAAGCAUCAAUAUUAUAUAGUCUCAAAUGAUUAUUUUAAGUGUUACCAAAUUAUACAUGUCUUCAGGAGAUAGGGUGCUUUUAAUCUGUUAUUUGAAGAACCACAUCACAUAUAGAAUUCAUGCAUAAGUUCAAUUCUCCUUAGUAUUUGAAUGUUUUCCUUUAUUAAAAGCAUGAACUCAAAAUCACAUACUCUGAAAUUGUCUUUCCUGAGUUUUAUUUACUGCUCUGUUGCUUGCUAAGUAUAAAUAAAUAAAUACACACACAUACACACACUCAAACAAAGAGCUAACUUUCUUAUAGCAUCUAACAGAAUACAGUGCUAAGCUCUGAUAAACGUAGAACUAUCUCUAUCUCCCUUCCCUCUCCUCUCUGUCCUCUCUUCUCUUUCCCUCUCUCUCUCUCUAUGUGUGUGUGUGUGUGUGUGUAUUUUAAGUUUUCAGAUUAAAGGAUAUUUAUAAAAGAACUGAUUUUUCUCAGAAUGGACAUUUCACCAAAACUAUUUUUUAUGUCCUAAUAAAAUUGAAAUAAAUGUUUUCUCUUUUGUUUUUCAGUGCCACAGAUUGAACCCAGUGCCUUUCACAUUGCUAGUUAAGUUCUUUACUGUCACGCUACACCCCAGCCUCUGAAAUAAGAAUUUUAAACCUAACGUAUGUGUGUCUGUGAUAAAUCAGAGGUUACAAAAUUAGAAUCAACAGGCCUGUGUUAGUCCACAGAAAGAUAAUUCCUGAACAAAAAUUUGAGCCCGUGUUUAAAUCCUAUGAAAACAAAAUCUGAUUUCAGCAAGUUAGACUCCUGUAUGAAAUGCAGUGAAAGAGUAUAACUCUCUGAAAGACCCUGUACUGACUGCUGAGAAUUGCUGUCUGCUAUUUAAAUGUAAAAGGAGAACUGAAGAAAUACCCUCCAACUCCGGAGCUGGAGGGCAGGAGGGCAUGCGGGAGUGUGAGUGCUGUUUGAUGGUGUCUCAGGCAGUGCUUGUCAAGUUUUAAAGACUAAAAGAAUCACUUGUGGAUUUGUGGAAAUGCAGGUUCUUGAGCUAUACCCCCAAAGAUUCUGAUUGAGUGGGAUGGGGACUUGAGCAUUUCUGUUUCUAACCAGAUCCUAUGUGAUACAGAUGCUUUUCAUAAAUACACUAUAUUUUGAAGAGUAUAGGCUGACAGGAAGAAGAAUCUCAGUCAUUCAAAAGGCAUCCCAACUUAGACCUUAUUCAUAAAGUAGCUGAAAACAUAAUCAAAGAUCUCACUGUAAGAUUAAUCACAAAAGUAUGAAUCUUAGAAGCUAUGAAACAAUGAUAAACCUUAGAAGAAAUUAUACGUACAAAUCUUUGUGGUCUUAAACUAUACAAUGGUUCAUUAUAUGUGACACUAAAAACACAAGAAACAACAAAAACAAAUAAGCAAUCAUCAUCAAAAUUAAAAAGCUUCAAAGGACAUUGAUAAGAAAGUGAAACGACAACUCAAGGAGCAGGAGAAAAUUUGUAUAAAUCAUAUGCCCACAGGAAAAAAUUUGUAUACAUAUAUAUACAUAUAUUUUCUCUUGCUGAAAGUCUGUGGGCAGAUACACACACACACACACACACACACACACACAUAGUGUAUUCUUUCAGUUAAACAAAAAAUAAUAAUUCAACAUAAAAAUGGACACAGGAUUUGAACAGUUAUUUCCCAAAGAAAGAUAUUCAAAUAUACUCAGGAGGAAAGGCUUCACUUCACUAGCAAAUAAGAAAAUUUAUAUCAAAAAAAAUUUAUAUCAAAAAAAUUUAUAUCAAAACCAUACUUAUGCAUACUAGGAUGGCUAUAUAAAAUGUACAAAUAAACACAAAAGCACUGAGAAGGACUGGAGAAGUUGGAACCGUCAGACAUACAUAGCUGAUGAGAAUCUAAAAUAGUGCUGUGGAUUUGAAAACGAGCUUGGCAGCUCCUCAAAAUGUUGAAUGUAGUGUUAACAUAUGAUCUAACAAUUCCACUCCUAGGUGUUUAUGAAAACAGGUCUACCAAAAAAAAGUCUACACAUGAAUGGUCAGGGAAAUCCAUCCAUUCAAAUGUCCAUUAACUGAUAAGUGUUGGGAAAAGUAUAAACGGCAGCCAUACCCCAGAGAAAAACCCCAACAUGGCGCCUAAGGACUUCUUCUUCCUACCUUCUUCUUUUCUGCAGUGGCCCGAAAAGUUCCCGCCCGUGUGAACUCUCUCGCUGGCGCCAAUUUCAAAUCUCGCUGGCGGGGAACCUUAGACCCAAUGAGAACUAAUUCCUGGGCUCCGGAGCUGAUAUCUGAAAGAACUUGCCAAUAAACGGGUUGCCUGCCAUUUAUCUAAGCCCUACUAUCUCCCCCUUAGUUCUAUAUAAACACACUGCUUUUUGCAAUAAAAUUGGAAUUCUCCCGGCGAAGUGUCUUUGCGUGGGGAAUUCUUUCAAUAAGUAAAUCAAAUAUAUUUCAUGCAAAAAAAUGGAAUGUCAUUUGGCAAGAAAAGAAAUGAAGUAGUGAAACACGCUGCAAUACAGAAGAACUUUGAAAAUAAUUGUGCUAAUUAAAAUAAUCCAGCUACAAAGGAUUACAUGUUGCCUGAUUCCACUAUAUGAAGGUAUACAAUAGGCAGAUGUAGCAUCAUAGAAAGUACUCUAGUGAUUGCCUAUGCCUGAGGAGGUGGUAGAGGUAGCUGGAAACAGAAGGAUUUUAGGGACUGAUGAAUGAGGUGUGAGGUUUGUUUGGGGGCUAAUUAAAUUGUUCUAAAAGUAACUGUGGUCAUGAGUGUAUAACUCUGAGGAUAUAUUAAAAACCAUUGACCUAUAUACUAUAAAUGGGUGAAUUGCAUAUUAUAUGAUUACAUCUUAACCGAGGUGCUUUUAAAAAGACAUGAAAGUGUUUAUUGUGUAACUACUGUAUAUUAAAUGCCAUCUUCUUUCUCCUUUUGACCUUUGAAGUACCAGAUUAACAGGAAUAACUCAAGAUGUUUUUCUAAUCUUUGCCUUUCCCAAUGACUGGAUUUCAUGCUUUGACUAAGAGCUUUCAACACACCCUCUACCUCCCCUUCAGAGCAUGCAGUCACAUUUUAAUGUGAUAGAUUGCUUAAUGUCUCAUCAUCUUUCUCAGAUGCUAAGCCCUAGUGACCAUGAAUGUCUUGUCUGCUAUGUUAUCCCCAUAACUUAAUACAGUUCUUUGUAAAUGUGAU
rnacentral:lncRNA from 1 species